GCAAGUCGAACGCGAAAGAGUUCUUCGGAACUUGAGUAGAGUGGCGCACGGGUGAGUAACGCGUAAGUAAUCUGUCCUGGCAUCUGGGAUAACUGGCCGAAAGGUGAGCUAAUACCGGAUACGUCCUACGGGGGAAAGACCGCCUCUGAUAUAAGCGGUUGUGCGAGGAGGAGCUUGCGUACCAUUAGCUGGUUGGUGGGGUAACGGCCUACCAAGGCGACGAUGGUUAGCGGGUCUGAGAGGAUGAUC
rnacentral:rRNA from 1 species